rnacentral:lncRNA from 1 species
GGUAGUUAGUGGAGAAGGGGAGGGUGCCCUGAGGGAGGGAGGACUCUGCAGAGGGAUGGGCAGCCAAGAGUUGAUCCACCUGUACAGGGAAUCUCCUUGGUGAUCCUGAAUCCAUUUGUGAGUCCAGGAUGUCUUGGUGGUGGCACAACAUCAGGCCUCUGAAAUAGGGAAAGCGUAGACUUGACCCCUGUGAACUAUGCUUUGGAAGUAAAUGAUGAAGGAGAAAUAAAGAAUAAUGCGAGCGGUGGUAGCAGCUCAGACUGAAAGGGAUCUGGAUGACUUCAGUGAUGGAGGCAGCAGAUUAUCCAGGCUGAACUCAAAGUCCCACGCAAAUGAAGGUAGGCUAUCCAGAGAGAGGCAGAGCCAGUGUGGCCUAUCUUCAAGAAGGAAAACAUGGAAGGGGCACAGAAGUUAAAGCACUCAUUGAAGAUUUUUCCAGCUAUUAUGCGAGUGGUCACCCCAGUUCUGUCCAACGCUGCAGCCACUGGCCAUGCCAGGCUCUCGAGCACCUGAAAUGUGCCUUGUCAUAAUCGAGAUAUGCUGUCGUUGUAACUAACACCCUGGAUUUUGAGGAUUUAGAGUGAAAAAGGAAGGCAAAAUUGCUCAUUAGCAAUUGUUUUAAUAUUGACUAUAUGUUCAAAUGCUAUUUUGGUUACACUGAG